CUGGUUCUGGAUGAGUGGCGAACGGGUGAGUAACACGUGAGUAACCUGCCCCCUUCUUCUGGAUAACCGCAUGAAAGUGUGGCUAAUACGGGAUAUUCUGGGUCUGUCGCAUGACGGGCCCGGGAAAGAUAUUGCUUCGGUGGGGGAUGGGCUCGCGGCCUAUCACCUUGUUGGUGGGGUGAUGGCCUACCAAGGCGGUGACGGGUAGCCGGCCUGAGAGGGUGGACGGUCACACUGGGACUGACACACGGCCCAGACUCCUACGGGAGGCAGCAGUGGGGAAUAUUGCACAAUGGGCGCAAGCCUGAUGCAGCGACGCCGCGUGAGGGAUGGAGGCCUUCGGGUUGUAAACCUCUUUCGCCAGUGAAGCAGGCCUGCUCCUUGUGGGUGGGUUGACGGUAGCUGGAUAAGAAGCGCCGGCUAACUACGUGCCAGCAGCCGCGGUAAUACGUAGGGCGCGAGCGUUGUCCGGAAUUAUUGGGCGUAAAGAGCUCGUAGGCGGCUGGUCGCGUCUGUCGUGAAAUCCUCUGGCUUAACUGGGGGCUUGCGGUGGGUACGGGCCGGCUUGAGUGCGGUAGGGGAGACUGGAACUCCUGGUGUAGCGGUGGAAUGCGCAGAUAUCAGGAAGAACACCGGUGGCGAAGGCGGGGUCUCUGGGCCGUUACUGACGCUGAGGAGCGAAAGCGUGGGGGAGCGAACAGGGAUUAGAUACCCCUGGUAGUCCACGCCGUAAACGUUGGGCACUAGGUGGUUGGGGGGGCCUUUUUCCGGGUCUUUCCGCCGCCGUAGCUAACGCAUUAAGUGCCCCGCCCUUGGGGGAGUACCGGCCGCAAGGCUAAAACUCAAGGGAAUUGGACGGGGGCCCGCACAAGCGGGCGGAGCAUGCGGGAUUAAUUCGAUGCAACGCGAAGAACCUUACCAAGGCUUGACAUGUGCCGGUCGGCUUCGGA
rnacentral:rRNA from 1 species